CCUACGGGAGGCAGCAGUGAGGAAUUUUCCGCAAUGGGCGAAAGCCUGACGGAGCAAUACCGCGUGAAGGAUGAAGGCCUAUGGGUUGUAAACUUCUUUUCUCAGAGAAGAAUUUUGACGGUAUCUGAGGAAUAAACAUCGGCUAACUCUGUGCCAGCAGCCGCGGUAAGACAGAGGAUGCAAGCGUUAUCCGGAUUAAUUGGGCGUAAAGCGUCUGUAGGUGGUUUAUCAAGUUUUUUGUCAAAGAUCGGGGCUUAACUCCGGGGAGGCAGAGAAAACUAGUAAACUUGAGUUCGGUAGGGGCAGAGGGAAUUCCCGGGGGAGCGGUGAAAUGCGUAAAGAUCGGGAGGAACACCAAAGGCGAAGGCACUCUGCUGGGCCGCAACUGACACUGAGAGACGAAAGCGAGGGUAGCAAAUGGGAUUAGAUACCCCAGUAGUCCUCGCCGUAAACGAUGGAUACUAGGUGUUGGAUGAGUUCAAUCAUUCACUACCGUAGCUAACGCGUGAAGUAUCCCGCCUGGGGAGUACGCUCGCAAGAGUGAAACUCAAAGGAAUUGACGGA
rnacentral:rRNA from 1 species